UUAUCUUUUAUCUCCAUCAAUGAAAUAAUCCUUUUAUCCAAUUCUGUCUAUUUCUACUAUUAAAAAUAGAUCAAAACAUCAAAUUACCCCUUCUUGUUUUCCUUGUUCUUUUUCUUUGGUUCUUCUUCUUCUUUAUUUGUAAAAAAAUUGGAUUUUAAAAAUUGAGUUAUUAAGGAAUAAGAAGAAAAAAUGGAUUUUGAGAAAAAGAAAUGGAUUUUGAAAAUUGGGUAAUUGAGAAAAAAGAAAAAGAAGUAAAAAAAAAAUUGAGUUUUAAAAAUUAGGUUAUUGAGAAAGAAGAAGAAGUAAAAGAAUUAGGCUUUAAAAAUUGGGUUAUCGAG
rnacentral:lncRNA from 1 species